rnacentral:rRNA from 1 species
AUUUGUUGCCCAGAGUGAUGGGCUCCGAAGCUAACGCGAUAAAUCGACCGCUGGGGAGUACGGCCGCGAGGUUAAAACUCAAAUGAAUUGACGGGGGCCCGCACAAGCGGUGGAGCAUGUGGUUUAAUUCGAUGCAACGCGAAGAACCUUACCUGGUCUUGACAUCCAUAGAAUUCUGCAGAGAUGUGGGAGUGCCUUCGGGAACUAUGAGACAGGUGCUGCAUGGCUGUCGUCAGCUCGUGUUGUGAAAUGUUGGGUUAAGUUCCGCAACGAGCGCAACCCUUAUUCUUUGUUGCCAGCGAUUUUGGUCGGGAACUCAAAGGAGACUGCCGUUGAUAAAGCGGAGGAAGGUGGGGACGACGUCAAGUCAUCAUGGCCCUUACGACCAGGGCUACACACGUGCUACAAUGGCGUAUACAAAGGGAAGCGAAGGUGCGAGCUGGAGCGGAUCUCAUAAAGUACGUCUAAGUUCGGAUUGGAGUCUGCAACUCGACUCCAUGAAGUCGGAAUCGCUAGUAAUCGUAGAUCAGAAUGCUACGGUGAAUACGUUCCCGGGCCUUGUACACACCGCCCGUCACACCAUGGGAGUGGGUUGCACCAGAAGUAGAUAGCUUAACCGCGAGGGGGGCGUUUACCACGGUGUGAUUCAUGACUGGGGUGAAGUCGUAACAAGGUAACCA